rnacentral:rRNA from 1 species
ACGGCUCAGUAACACGUGGAUAACCUACCCAAGAGUCCGGGAUAACCCCGGGAAACUGGGGAUAAUACCGGAUAGGUCAAACUUGCUGGAAGGCUGUUUGGUUGAAACCUCCGGGGCUUUUGGAUGGGUCUGCGGCUGAUUAGGUUGUUGCCGGUGUAACGUACCGUCAAGCCUGUAAUCAGUACGGGUUGUGGGAGCAAGAGCCCGGAGAUGGAUUCUGAGACACGAAUCCAGGCCCUACGGGGCGCAGCAGGCGCGAAAACUCUACAAUGCAGGCAACUGCGAUAGGGGAACAUCGAGUGGCGUCCAUAUUGGAUGUCUGUCCUCCCGCCUAAAAAGCGGGAGUUAGCAAGGGCCGGGCAAGACCGGUGCCAGCCGCCGCGGUAAUACCGGCGGCUCGAGUGGUGGCCGAUAUUAUUGAGUCUAAAGGGUCCGUAGCCGGCUUUGCAAGUCUCUCGGGAAAUCCAGCGGCUUAACCGUUGGUCGUCCGGGGGGUACUACAUUGCUUGGGACUGGGAGAGGUAGGAGGUACUCAGGGGGUAGGAGUGAAAUCCUGUAAUCCUUUGGGGACCACCGGUGGCGAAGGCGUCCUACCAGAACAGGUCCGACGGUGAGGGACGAAAGCUAGGGGCACGAACCGGAUUAGAUACCCGGGUAGUCCUAGCCGUAAACGAUGCUCGCUAGGUGUCACAACAGUCGUGAACUGUUGUGGUGCCGUAGGGAAGCCGUGAAGCGAGCCACUUGGGAAGUACGACCGCAAGGUUGAAACUUAAAGGAAUUGGCGGGGGAGCAC